CAGUCGCCGCGGUAACACAGAGGGUGCGAGCGUUAAUCGGAUUUACUGGGCGUAAAGCGUGCGUAGGCGGCUAAUUGAGUCGGAUGUGAAAUCCCCGAGCUUAACUUGGGAAUUGCAUUCGAUACUGGUUAGCUAGAGUGUGGGAGAGGAUGGUAGAAUUCCAGGUGUAGCGGUGAAAUGCGUAGAGAUCUGGAGGAAUACCGAUGGCGAAGGCAGCCAUCUGGCCUAACACUGACGCUGAGGUACGAAAGCAUGGGGAGCAAACAGGAUUAGAGACCCCCGUAGUCCCUGUCUCUUAUAC
rnacentral:rRNA from 1 species